rnacentral:rRNA from 1 species
GACAGAGGUGCCAAGCGUUAGGCGGAAUCACUGGGCUUAAAGCGUGUGUAGGCGGAUCGUUAAGUGUCUUGUGAAAUCCCACGGCUCACCCGUGGAACUGCUGGGCAUACUGGCGAUCUUGGGCCAUUCAGGGGCGACUGGAACAAGCGGUGGAGCGGUGAAAUGCGUAGAUAUCGCUUGGAACGCCAAAGGUGAAAACAGGUCGCUGGGGAUGCGCCGACGCUGAGACACGAAAGCCAGGGGAGCAAACGGG